rnacentral:sRNA from 2 species
UAUCUCUCCGUACGGGGAAGGAUGAGAAGCUUCGACUAAGGUUCGAUUCGAGCGAAAGCGAGAAAGCGUUGCCGCAGGCAACGACCCGAAGGGCGAAGCGCGCAGCGCUGAGUAAUCCUUCCCCCCUCAUCC